ACAGAAACCUCAUUCAAUUUGUCCACAUAAAUCAUCAGGACAAUUUCAUCUCCUCCUUUGUGAUGGUGGGGUUUGUGUGUCCAAGAAACUUGUCAGGGGCUUUAUACUUCGGGUAGGGCCAACUAGGGCAAGCACAUCCAAAAUAAAAGACAACACAAAGUACAACUUUCAAACCCUUAUGAUAAAGAACUUUUGAACACUAUUUCCCUCACACGAACAUAAGACUUUUGACUUAUGCAUGUGUUACAUGUCAAUUUCGACUAACGUCCGCUUUGCUCACACCAGUAAAAUGCGACAAGGCAGUUGUAUUGAGUUUAAUACAAUUUAAUCACACACAAAAAUAGAACACAAACACGAAAAAUACCGAACACAAAAUAGUUCAAAAAUAGAUUUGUCGAGCUAAAACGGUGAAUAGUCAACAAUGUUGAACGAAUGUUCCCAAACAGACAAAUGUUCUUUCCAGUGAAUAUUCCAAUUUAGCGAAUGUUCCAGAAAUGUCCAAAGACGAAAGGCAGCAGGCGUCCGUGUAGUUCGUCACAAACAGUAUACUUUGUCCCAAAGCAGUGGUGCAGUGUGCAGAAGCCUCGUUAAUGUUCUCUCUCGUCCAGAUAUAGGCACUCCUCAGAACAUUCCAGAAUUCGGCAUCACAAAGGAUCCGCAUCAUAAAGACACAAGAGCAUGAAAGGAAACUGCAUCACAAAGUUAUAAUGACUUAAAAGAAUGAAAGGAAAGAGCGUCACAAAGACCCGCGUCAUAACAACCUAAAAGCAUCAAAGGAAAAUAAAGAGGAUAAAGAAUGAAAAUACACACACACACACACACACACACACAUAACAUAUUGAAGACUAUUUUACUUUUAUUGCACUUUCAUUAUUUGCUUAAAUAUGACGUUAUACAUUUAAUCAACAGAUAAAGUGUUGCCCAUUUGCUAAUCAGACAAGGAUGUGUUGUGGAGUCGGUGGUUGUACUUGAUCUUUGUAUGCAGAAAACCGGCUGGUGUCAUCCUCCUAUCCCAGGCGUUGCCAUGGAGACAAAAGACACCAGAUAAGGAGCGGAAAGUUACCAUCCCAGUCCAGGACCAGACUGGGGCAGCCACUUCUACCAUGGACCCAUACAUAUAAAAACCUCGUGUUACUGGGCAGCUCUUGUCUCCUUCUUUGGCUAUCCUGCCAGAAGACACACGUCUCGUGUGCGGCAGAUACCUACAUAAGACCUGGACGUUUGGACUGCACAUUUCUUUGUAAUAAAUCCAUUUGGUGUAACUUUUUCUAAUCAUUGGUCAUAUCUUCCUCGAUUCUUGAACACGCGUUGGGUCCAAACUCGCAAAUCCCUACAAUUUGGUGACCCCGACCGUAAGUCGUAAGUUUAACACAGGAGUGUUAUACGGACAAGUCAAGGGUGGUCGUCUGUGCUUCUGACUUCUCCAGGUUGCGGCCAAAACCAAAAGUUCAGGGUGUACCCCGUCUCCUGCCCGUUGACAGCUGGGAUUGGCUCAAAGCACUCUCCACAACCCUUGUGAGGAUAAGUAGGAAAGAAAAUGGAUGGAUAUUACAUUCUUAUAUUAUAUAACAAGCAAACAAAACACUACAACGUUGAAAACUUCUUUUUUCUCAGGCUUUUUAGAAUAUAUCCACUUUUUGAUCAUAUUACUUGCACUGUAUGCAGGUUUAAUUGUCUUUUUUAAAUUGUUUUUGUCAUUUUUAUUGUUUUUAUCCGAUUUUAAAUGUUUUCUUUGUUUUCAAAUGCCUUUAAUCAUGUAAAGUUACCUCGUGUAUGAAAUGCGCUAUACAAAUAAAUUUGCUUUGCUUUACAACGAUGCCCAUGACAGAAGCUCUAGCAGGUCGAAUAUACAAGCAGUUUGAUCUUAAAGAUGUUGAUUGUCUUACUGCUAACUUGUCUCGUCUCUCUUCUGGUGGUAAUGCAUGGCUGUCUAGUUUUGUGGAAACUUUACAGGGGUAUACAGUGCAUGGGAGACUGGAGACAAGCAGCAUCAAGAUCAUACACUAGUAUUGAACACCGAGAAAUCGAGACAAUUGCAGGUAUGCUUAACGUACCCAAUGGAACCAUAUUGAGAGCAAACUUCGAGCGUCUGGCCGCAGCUAUCAGAGAGAGGUUCCCCACUCCUGUUACAGACGCACCCGCUUCUUUCCCCAAUUUUGAACGACCCACUUGAGCACUUGACUAACUGUACUAAACUUUGGACUGAAUCGACUGGACAGUCUGGUUAGGAAGAGGAUAUGUUCAGGACUGGGAUCCUGGCAGGUCUCCCUGAACCAGUACAUACCACUCUUAAAGCUGACCCUGACCUCCUGUCCGGAGAUGAGUCUCGAUUUAGACAAUACUUAGUGCAUCACCUCAAAAUUUAUUCAAGCCAACAACAGGGUGAGGAUAAUGAAAUUACUAAACUCCAAAAACAACUUCUUAACUUGAAAGUAGCACAGCCAAGAUGUAAAGGUCCAAAACCACACCAGAUGUAAUUUUUUGGCAGACACAACCACCGAGGUUCUAGGGUAAUAGCCCGGGGGGGUGGAUACGCAGGAAGGCGUGGAGGGGGAGAGUGCAACAUCAACGUGAUCAAGGGUGUUUUGGUUGUGGUUCUCUCGAUCACUGGAUUAAAGACUGUCUUCCAGCUCCUCCACCUCAAGCUCCAAUGCAAGGGCGUGGUGGCAAACAAAUGAGGGGGCCAAGGCUGAGACAGAAAUGACAGCUUUGGCAGCCCACCCUGACAGCAGAAUGGACAGCAGCAGGUUAGACAGUACCACUAGCGGUGCCCAGGAAGCCAGGGGUCCGGCGAUGGAGGCUUCAUGAUCCCCAUCUCUGUUGCAGGGCGAAAUGUGAACACUCUCGUUGACACAGGGGCAACGCACUCCUCACUCAACAUUUCGCUCCUGGACACUUUAUUGUCACAACACACUGUGCAAUUGAUGGGCUUCUCAGGGACUCAACAGGCCUUGCAAUGGACUCAACACUUACCGACAAUCUUGGCUGGACAGACCUUCCACCGUUUGUUUAUAAUGCCAGCAGCUGACACCGUCUGCCAGUCUGGACAAUGGCUUAUGACACAUGCGAGUGAACCAACUCCAACUGUGGACAUUUAUUGGGCCCGACUUGAACCAGAAACACCGCUCAAACCUGGUCUCACACAUCAAUUUCUGUUGUGGAAGCUCUGGUUAAACACUCUUAGGGCUUACCUGCCUCCACUUGUUCCAUAUCGUUGCACACUAUAUUGCGACCUCAACCAUGAUCUAGUACACAUGGAAAACUUUGCAUGCAUACAAGGUGAUUCUUGGGACAUUACAUCCGCACAUACAUACAUAGCAAGAGAGAGUGUAGCAGCAUCCUGCUCUCUUACACCAGAUCAAAUGACAUGGUUCAAAAUGCAAGAAGAGUCAGUACCCCACAUUUCACUCGCUCUGUCUCCAGGACAUGAGGCCCGGCAGCAGGGACCUAUGGCGAAACGACAGACAACUGACUGACUGGGAGGACACACCACUCCCUAACGUACAGAUCUCCAAAUCUACAGAUGCAUACUGCAUAAUUUUACCUGACGCACCUCCGACAACUAAUAUCACCAUAUUAGAACACGAGACCAUAACUAGAAAACACGGACGUGACUACGCUGACCAUUACGACGCCAAGUCAAUGUUAAACAAACUGCCUAAAUUAGUUUGGUCCUCUGGACUCUUUGAUGUUGGACAUUGUACAAAGACACCAGACAUUAAAACUCUAUUUUUCUAGGAUCUUAUUUUUACAGACCUCAAUAUCCUUGACCCGCACCUGCUAACCAGGCGAUAGAGGACACUCUCACUGGCCUGUGGAAUUCUGGAGUCUUGGAAACAUCCACCUCUUCGUGGUGUACACCACUCAGGCCAGUUUUAAAAGCAGAUGGUAACACUUAGCAUAUUAGCUAAUCGGUGACCUUCUUGGGCAGAGUGGUGUCCUCUGAAGGAUCCACUAUGUCCUCGGAGCAUCGUUCUUUUAUUCCACAGAUUCUCCUCAUCCACGUGCUGAUCUCUCUGUCCAACCUCUAACUAAAGGCAGGAUUCUGUUCACUGAUGGUUGCUGUUACCGUACGCCAAAUGGCUCUUUGGCUGCGGCGGCCGCCGUAGUGGAGCAGCAGCCCUAAGGUGAAUUUGGAACUUCCUCUUCCGUACUAACAUCUGCUCCCUCAGCCUAGGCAGCGGAAGUGCUUGAACUCUGUCUUGCACUGGAACUGGUGGUCGGACAAUCUGUCACUGUCUAUACUGACUCAGCUUACGCUGUCUCUGCUGCUGUGUUGGACCUGUCUCCCUGGAAACUGAAUUAUUUUAAAACAGCUAAAGGUACUCCUAUUGCACAUUUGACAGUGAUCCAACGAUUAGAUAAAGCCCUGGCCAAACCUUCGGCGGUGGCUAUUGUCAAGGUCCCUGGCCACUCAAAAUCCACUUCAACCACAGCCCUCGGCAAUAAUGCUGCCGACUUUGCUGCCAACAGGCUGCGGGCUAUGUCCCACAGAUGCUUGUCCAAUUAUUUGACAAAGCCUCUCCUGACCUGCCUGAACCUCUGUCUCAUAGUGAAUUGGUUAAAAUACAGCACAACACCUCUCCUGAACAAAAGAUAUUUUGACUGAAACUCACUCUUUGGCUCAUAUUGGCCCCAGAGCCAUGCUAACCAAACUUUGCAUGUGGUGGCAUCCUAAAAUAUCUGACUUGUGUCAUGCCCACUGUCGUGACUGUAAUAUUUGCCAGCUACACAAUGUUCGCCCCACACUUAGACCGUUGCCAGGUUCAUUUGACCCACCUACCUGGCCUGGCGCGGAACUGUUCAUGGAUUUCCCAGACAUGAUUACUCCUGUUCAAGGUAAGCGCGACCUUGUUGUCUUUGUUGACACCUCUUCAGGAUGGCCUGAAGCCUAUCCCUGCGCUCGCAAAGAUGCCAUGUUGGUAAUGAAAGCUUUGGUGAACCACUGGAUUCCAACGUACGGUUUCCCUGCUCUCAUCCGCUUAGACAACGGUGCACAUUUUACAUCCACACACCUAGCUACUGUAGACAAGUGUUUAGGGUUAACUCACAAGUUUGGUUGUGUUUAUCACCCCACCAGUCAAGGCUCAGUUGAACAUAUGAAAUCGCACGUGGAAGGAAAAACUGGCUAAAAUAUGUAACUCUUCCAGCAUGAAUUGGGUUCAGGCUCUUCCCCUUGCUCUAAUGUCUGUGAGACAAACUGUGUCUCGCCUUACUGGUUUCUCUCCUUAUGAACUUCUUACAGGUCGUCUGAUGCCUGGCCCUUCCUCCUCACUCCAACCGCUGGAGGAGGGUGUUGUGUCUCCCAAGUUUUCUCAUAAAAUGUUUUGGACACAACUGCAUUCUUUUGCUUCUAAUUUCUCUUUACAGAUCCAGGACUCUCUUCCAUCACCACCUCCUACACUUGAUCUUCCUGAAUGGUCAUCUGUCUCCCUUAAACGACUCUCUCGUAAGUGGUCAGAACCUGUUGGUCUGGCCCCCACAAGGUGACUGCUCGGACCUCCAAAGCCGUCCGCUUGGAGGGAAAAGGAACUAAGUGGUUUCAUUAUUUUAUACUUCGCCCCGCUACAGACACUUAAUUGCACUUAUUUUAUUGUUUGUUGUUUUUUUUUUUUUUAUUGCUAACCAUGGUUCCGAGAGAUGGUCCAAUUGCUUUUCGGACCAAGAGAGGGAGAGCAGGAAUCUAUUAUUAUUGGCGUUAUUGUUUUUCUUGGUAUUUUGAUCUGGGAAAUUGCUCAAAAAUACCCCAUACCCACACCUACAUCAGUGCCAGCUGUGAGCAUAACCCACCCGGAAAAUAUUUAUCACGGAGAAGAGUUGUAUUAUAAACAAAGCCCUAUCUGUUGAUGAGUGGUUUACGGUUUUGACAGGUGUUAGCGCAGUAAACAAUAAUUGGUUACGAUUAGCAGAACAUGCGGCGAAUAAAACCCCGAGUGACUGUGUUGUAUGCAUGGGACCUAGACCUUUGUUCCGUGUUUUCUUCUUCUGUCAACUCCACCUGUGUUCUAGAUCUUACGAAAAAUCAUAUGCCAACUAAAAAUGAAUGCAAAAUUUGGGAUACUGCUCACCCGGUAACACGAGCCCAUAACAACAAACCUGUUUAAUCGUGGUGUGGCGCGCCAAAACUUCAACUGUAUUUUCCUUAAAGAUAAUGGUGCCCCAAUUGACAAUAUCGCUGCUGAUCAGUGAUCAGUCACCCAGGAAACACCUUUCUUCCAACCUGUGAGCUGUACUGAUGUGUGGUGGUGGUGCGGAGGGAACCGUCUCUUUGACCACCUCCCGCGCAACAGUACGGGCAGAUGUGCAUUAGUAACUUUACUUAAGCCCUAUUUUCGUUGUUCCUAUCACCCUAGAUGAUCUGGCGGUUGCUCCUGAACACUUCAAAGAAGCUCUUAGCCUAUUACACCAUUCACGUAGGUCCAAGUCUACCUGGCAUGGUGCUGACGACCCCACCUAAAUUGACGCUUUUGGCGUCCCCCGUGGUGUCCCAGCUAAAUAAACUGGCUGAUCAGGUAGUUGCUGGUUUUGAAAAUACACCUGUAAUUUCCGCUCUUUUCCCCGUUACUCCUAACGAAAAUGUUGACCGUAUCAAUUACAUACAUUGUAAUGUGCAUGGGCAAUUCCACCCUUGAAGCACUUGAAGCUGUACAUUAGCAACUUAAGGCCACAUCUAUUAUGACUUUCCAAAAUAGAAUCGCAUUAGAUGCACUGUUGUCCGAGAAAGGAGGUGUUUGCCGAAUAACACCCAGCCGACGGAUGCCGCACUAAGGCCGCAGAUGGACUUAGAACCCUUACUAAGAAUAUGAAGGAACACUCUGGUGUUGACACGUCUAUGUGGAAUAACUGGAUGAAUGUGUUUGGUAAAUGGAAGGGUGUCAUUUCAUCAAUCUUCAUCUCUCUGGCUGUUUUCACCUCUAUUUUCACUCUCUGUGGAUGCUGUUGCAUUCCUUGUAUUUGUUCUCUUUUAACCCGUCUCAUUGAGAAGACGACUGGUGCCACAGCUGAUGGCCACGAUAAUUAUGUCCUCAUUAGACCCUCGCCCCAACACACUCAAGAUGAUUUUAUUGUUGCUAUCCCUCCCCCUGAAAAUACUAAACUUCCACCGCUUCCUGAUUGUCAUAAUGUCACCAUGCCCCGUGAUUGCAUUGUCCUUCUGUUCUACUGAUACUUUUUACGUGAUAUUACUUUUUUAGAAAUGUUUUGCUGUUUUUGAGUUGUCUAGUUCUGUCCUGCAGGUUUAAAGCAAGUGUUCUGAAUCUUGUUAAAAGGUAUGCUUGGACGAUUAGAGAGGGUUUUAUGUUUUCCAUAUCUCUUGAAGUGUUAGUUUUGGGAUUUUUGUAUUUGUUUUUGUGAUCUAUUUCAUAGAUCAAGAGAGGGAAUUAAGAUUUUACUUUUAUUGCACUUUCAUUAUUUGCUUAAAUAUGGCGUUAUACAUUUAAUCAACAGAUAAAGUGUUGCCCAUUUGCUAAUCAGACAAGGAUGCGUUGUGGAGCCGGUAGUUGUCCUUGAUCUUUGUAUGCAGAAAACCGACUGGUGUCAUCCUCCUAUCCCAGGUGUUGCCGUGGAGACGAACAACACCAGAUAAGGAGCGGAAAGUUACCAUCCCAGCCCAGGACCAGACUGGGGCAGCCACUUCUACCAUGGACCCAAACAUAUAGAAACUUCGUGUUACUGGGCAGCUCUUGUCUCCUUCUUUGGCUAUCCUGCCAGAAGACAUUCCUUUGUAAUAAAUCCAUUUGGUGUUAACUUUUUCUAA